CCUACGGGAGGCAGCAGUAAGGAAUAUUGGUCAAUGGAGGCAACUCUGAACCAGCCAUGCCGCGUGCAGGAUGACUGCCUAUGGGUUGUAAACUGCUUUUGUCAGGGAAUAUGUACCUGAAGAAUAAGGAUCGGCUAACUCCGUGCCAGCAGCCGCGGUAAUACGGAGGAUCCAAGCGUUAUCCGGAUUUAUUGGGUUUAAAGGGUGCGUAGGCGGUCCUAUAAGUCAGUGGUGAAAGACGGCAGCUUAACUGUCGCAGUGCCUUUGAUACUGUAGGACUUGAAUCUAUUUGAAGUGGGCGGAAUAAGACAAGUAGCGGUGAAAUGCAUAGAUAUGUCUUAGAACUCCGAUUGCGAAGGCAGCUCACUAAGUUAGAUUGACGCUGAUGCACGAAAGCGUGGGGAUCAAACAGGAUUAGAUACCCUUGUAGUC
rnacentral:rRNA from 1 species